GUGAAUAAUAAAAUUCCAAUUAUCUUCCUUUGAGAAGAAUCUUAGAAGAUUUUCCAAUUUAUUGCUGCAAGAACGAAGGAAAUCCAUCGAAUAAUAACCGAUUUAUUGGCAUUUGAAAUAUUUUUCACUUUUUUCGGUUUUAGAUUUUCAUUUCACAUCCCUAUGUAGCCGAAUUUCCUGAGAGAAGUGUUCUACUUCAGAAACUUUUCGAAACCCACUAGCUCAGCGGAUAUCUUAUGAUUCUCCGUCUUCGCUAUCGUCUCCAUCGAUUCCACCGAAGCUUGAUUGUCUAUCACAUCGGUCACAUCGAGCUGAUGUUCUUGAUUAAUGGGCCGAUAGGUUCUUAGAAAGAAAUAACUCGAAAUAAAUCGUUCAAAGAAACUUUAUUAAUGUGGUUAACUUCUCUGACAUGGUUAUUUUCAGAAUUACAGUAUUCGACAGAGAUGCCAGAUAUACAGACAAAUCUGUAUUAUACAGACUUUCUGUGUUGCGAUACAGACACGCAUAAGCCUACAGAUUUUAUACAGACAUUUAGUAUAAUACAGAUAUUACACAGAUAUCUGAUAUUCUACAUAAUGGUUUUACCAGUAUACACAAAAAAACGAACACAAAAACCAAAAGUCACUGUAGCCGUUGCUGGAAAAAGUGAACUAGGAACUGAACACUUUGCUGAACAUAUUAAUCAUGCGUUUUUGAGAGUGAAAUCAUGACAACGGGAAUCGAGUCAGGCUAUCGGGGUUUUUAUCGGCCCCGUGGGCACUAAUCUGCCUGUUUCGCCCCCAGUAACAAACAGCUGAUUGUCUCGAUCGAUUGCCAUGCAGGUUAUAUUGGUGAAAAGACCGUUUGUUCCAUUCGGAGCAAUAUCCAACGUUGAAGAAUUGCUUAAAAUGUCCCAAACCUUGAAGGUACUAUUUUUAUAACCGCGAGACUUCUGCCAUCAUGUAUCAGUUUAGCUACAUUACGACGAACGACGAUUUUUAUCACGGGAAAGACUCUUACUUCUAUGUGUUACUUAGAUUUUAAAGAUAAAUUAGUUAUCGAUUAAUCUACCAACUAUGAUAGCCUCGAAAAAGAACAAUCAAAACAAGCAAUAAAACAAAACAAUCUGACAGGUCGACAAAUAAUUAGGUAUCAAUGUAUCGGUAACUUUUUUUCGCAGCGGUAUACAGACUUAUACAGACAUUUUUAUGGAUUAUACAGACUUGCCAAAAAAAAGUCUGGCAUCUCUGCUAUUCGAUGAGGAGCGCACAUCGUAUGUAGGGGAACUUACACGCUACCAAUGUUUUACUCAUUAAUUAAGGUAUAAAUAACUUCUCAAUACCCCUCAUUAAUUUAUGCAAACUACACGGCCAACCGCAGCUCUCAGGCGCUGAAAUGGCCCUGCAGAUAAUCCCUUGGUUAGCAUAUCAGCUUCCUGUUUUUCUGACGGUAAAUAUUUCAAUUUAAUGCACUGAUCUUGUACCAAUUCUUUCACGAAACUGUGCUUGACAUCAAUAUGUUUCAGCUUACUUCGAUCCCUUGGUUCUUCAAGCACCUUGAUUGCAGAUUGAUUAUCUUCAAAAUAGGUAACCGGCAAUUUGAUUUGAAAACCCAACUCCUCCAGAAGUCGCACCAUCCUCACAAAUUGCCACCAAUUCUGCUUCAGUUGAUGACAGAGAAACCGUCCUUUGCUUUCAAGUCGCCCAAAAACUUUAAAUAAAUAGCCUGUAACAGAGCGCCAAUCUACAACAUAAUUCGCCCAGUCGGCAGAACGCUACCAACAACGGUUCUCUGUCAUCUACUUUGUACUCCAAACCAACACCCACUGAUCCUUUAACAUAUCGUAAAACACGUUUCAGAUAUGUCCAGUGUUCUUCCGUUGGGCAGCUCUGGAACUGACUGAAGUAGUUCACUGUGGCAGACAGAUCCGGUCGAGUGGUCAACGUGACACACAUCAAGCAACCAAUUAACUCUCGAUAUGUUUUUGAUGUACGAUUCGACUCCACUCCCUUUUCCAGUCGCAGAUGACUCUACAUUGGAACCGAACUUGGUUUGCAAUCAGACAUGUUGAAUCGUUUCAACAAAUCUUGUAGAUACCUUUGCUAACUAAUUCGCAAAAUACGACGCUCCACGUCACGCUCAAUUUUUAUUCUGAGGAAACUUGAUGCAUCACCUGAAUCCACCAUUUCAAACGCUUUCGACAGAGAGUUCUUCACAACUUUGAUCUCUCGAAGAUCAUGCCCAAAUAGCAAGAUAUCGUCAACAUACAACAACAAGAACAUCUUCUUUUGUUCAUCACCUCGUACGUACAAACAUUGAUCACCAAGCGUUCUUUUGAAGCCGAAAACGAUGAAAUUUAUCGUUCCAAGCUUUUGAAGCUUGCUUGAGACCAUAAAGGGAUUUAUUAAGUCGACAUACUAAUCCAUCACCGUGUACGAAGCCCUCAGGUUGUGUCAUAAAUAUUUCUGUGUUAAGGUCUCCAUUGAGGAAUGCUGUGUGUACGUCCAUUUGAUGUAUGUACAUUCGCUCAUGAUUUGCAAUGGCCAACAUCAUCCGCAAUGUUUUCAACUUUGUAACCGGCGAAUAGGUCUCCCUAUAAUCGAAACCACAUCGCUGUGUAAAGCCACGCGCAACUAGCCGUGCUUCGUAUCGGUCUGGUUCUUCACCUUCUCCGGGCUUAAUCCGAAACACCCACUUACACGUAAUAGCCUCCCGACCUUUCGGAAGCUUUGUCAGCGACCAUGUGUUAUUUUUCCGCAGUGAGUGCAUUUCUUCUUCGACAGCUAUUUUCCAUUUCAACCAAUCGGGUCUUUUUUUUAAUUCUGCAAUAGUGCAUGGUAGAUUAUCAACAUUCUCCAUGGCACCAAGAGCGAAACCAGCGAAAGUCAUAUCGUAAUCUUUUUGCCAUAUUGGUGGCUGUCGAACACGACCAGGUACAUUUUGUUGCUCGUCUGAAGAUUCCGUAUUACAACUGUCAAACCCGCAAGACUCCUCAACGCUAUCAACUUCAUCCGGCAAUUCUCUAUCUGAACCAUUCUCCUCACCAUUUUCAGAAAUACAAUCUAAAACAUCGUCAUCUUCUUUCCCUACAGAAGAACUAUCUGCAACUUGAACUGUCUUCACUAUUUCGGAGCCUGUUGCUUCAAGCAUAUCGCCUGCACAUUUUCAUCAAAGACAACAUCACGAACAGUAACUAUUCUCUCCUAACGAGGGUCCUAGAUACGGUAACCGUUUAUACCGUAACCGAUAAAUAUACCCUUCCAAGAUUUCUCGUCAAGCUUUUUACGGUUUUGUUUCGGAAUAUGACAAUAGGCAGUGGAGCCAAAUACCCUCAAUUUCGAAACAAAGGGUUUUCUCCCUUCCCACAUUUCGAAUAGUGUCGUCUUUGCACCAAUAGCACUUGCUGGACUCCUGUUCGAGAGAAACGCAGCGGUUUGCACUGCCUCACCCCAAAAUACACGAUCAACUCCGGAAUCGAAAAGCAUUGAACGAGCCUUUUCCACCAACGUUCUGUUCAUCCUCUCACAGACGCCAUUCUGUUCAGGAGAAUAUGGAUUCUAUUUUAUUUCUCUUUUAAUGCCCCUGCGUUUACAGAACGAUCGUAUUUCUUUACCCGCAUAUUCCCUACCAUUAUCCGAACGGAAACGGGAAAUUCUAACACCAAACUCCGCUGUCAUUUCCAUCUCGUAUUCCUUAAAACAUUCAGCCACUUGAUCUUUGGACUGAAUCAGAAAUACUUCAGUAAAACGUGACCAAUCGUCAAUGAAUGUCACAAAAUGUUUGUGACCAUUCCAUCCGGCUGGCGUUAAAGGCCCGCAAACGUCCGAGUGCACAAGCUCUAGCACCCGAGUUGAUCGCCGUUCUUUCUUCAACUUGAAUGGAUUUCUCGUUUGUUUUGCUGACACACACGACUCACAAAUAACCAUUGAAUUAUCGCCGUUUAUCAGCCUUUAAGCCUUCCACCUUUCCAUUUUUAAUCAAUUUUAAUAAGUUCUCCUCACCGAGGUGGCCGUAUCUACGAUACCACAACUCCAUCGCCUUAGUAAUUUUUCCGGUAAAUAAAAAAGAAUCGGCUUCAUCCUUUGUGCAUAAAAGUUUAUCUCAUAAAGUUUUUCACAUCUUUGGCCAGUGGCCACCACCACUGAGUUCUGUAUAAUCUCUACCCGACCACCUUCGAACACAACUUUCAUACCUGCUGAUUCGAUCUUGCUUAUUUAAAGUUAAUUACAACGAGCAUCCGGAAUUUACACAGCAUCAGCAACCGUUGCCGUAAUCAUUUUGCCAUCAACAGCCGAUAUAACAGGAAUAUUUCCUUUGUAUUUUUCUGUUACCCUUUCACCAUUUUUCGCUACAGCAAUUUUCAUGGGUGAAUCCAACAAUUCUUGCUUUGGGAAAAGUUUCUUAUCGUUGCAGAUAUGCUCGGUGGCUCCUGAGUCAAUGAACCAACGAACUUUGUUUGUAUGCGAAAGCAAAACCUGAUUGUAUGUGAAAAACAAUACCUCAUUAUUCUUUUCUUCGGCAACAUAAGCACUUGACUUGUCAAAUUUUCUUUCAGCUUUCUUCCUUUCCGGACAAUCCACGAUUUUGUGUCCUAUCUUCUGACAACCGAAGCAUUUAAGAAACAAUUGUUUUUGUGUCUGCUUUCGCACAGCACCUUCCGAGAAUGCAGCCGAGUCUUCCUUGACCUGACGAUUAUCUGUUGUCUUCCGUUUGAUUUCCUCAUCGAGAAGACGACAUUUUUCAAAUUCCAUCGUUAGUUGCUCCACCGGCAGAGAUUCAAGUGAAGUAACUACUAUAUCAUAUGCUUAACCGACAGAAAGCAGCAAACGGCAUACAACAUCAACGUCAUCGAUUAAUCCUCCAGCAGUUCGAUACAUUCGAAUGACUCAAUCAAAUUUCAUGAAAUAACGUAUGAGGAAAAAAAUUCGAACAAACUUUUAAUUCCAAAUUAAAAUCUUGGGCAACUUAUUUUUCUAUACUUGUUUGUUUAUUCAAGUAAUGUAACUCAUUUACAAACCUCAUAGGAAAAACUCAGCUCCACAUCGCGCUGAUUUCCUGAUCCUCUGGGGUACUUGCUUUAUAGCUUCCUGAAUUCCGGAUGUUUCAAUUGUUUUGAGCUCCAUCUUGAUUUUUCUAUCAAACAAUCGACGUUUUUCGCUCUGUUACCUUUAUGGUAGACCAUUCGCUUCAAAUUUGCUCAGAAAGUUUCAAUAGACUGCAGCUGGGGCACAUUUUGAGAAUUGUAUCCUUUUGGAAUAAACCCGAUAUUGCCUUGCCGCAAAUCCGCUAAAGUUGCAUUAGCAAAAUUUGACAAUACAAGUUCUGGCCAAAACACUACUUUGUCAUUUUUAUGGUACUUAUAUUUGAAGUUUUAAGCCUAUUUCAUGCAGAUACUUGUUCACCGUUUUUGAAUCAAUCGGAUAUUUAUUGUCCAGCUCACGAUAUGAUUACGCCGACCGACCAGUCGUUUCCGCCCUUAAUUUCGCUCGAACUUUGCACUCUUGCAAAGUGCAUUCUCGUCCAGAACCAGAUCUUUAUUUGAAGGCAUUUUCAUUCUCGAAGAGUUUGUCAAUAAUGUAUAUAACUGUUUUUAUCUAUAUCCAAGAUCUUUAGAAUAGUGGAACACUUCACUUUUAGAUUUUUCUUCAUUUCGCUCACAAAAAUUGCAAAUCAAUUUACGACGAUCUUCUUCCGACCAUGCCUUUUUCCCAACUAAUCGUCACUUGACAGAAUCGACUAGUCGUGUUACCAGUUAUAUAAAAGUGGAUCUUCAUUUUGUGGAAAAGGAUUUUUCGAUUUGUGCAGCACUUCAAAAUCGUAGACCAAUUCAAAAGUUGUUCGGAUUUUUUUCCUCACACGUUACUCCUGCAAUGGUCCGGAAGUAUACUCCAACUCAUGCAUCAUUCGAUUUAAGUGCAUUCUUUUGGCUACACUCUUCCUUUCGAAAAUUUUUACCAGUCCAUCCCACAUUUGCUUCGGAGUCCUUUUUCCUUGUAGAUGUUCAAGUUGAUCGUCAGGAAUGCGGGAAACCAUUAAUGAUUAGCAGUGUUUGUCCCUCUUUUGUCGCUUUUCGAGCGCCUUCUUUUUCUGUUGCCGUACUUCCACCGUGUCACCAUCUUCGAUUUUAAGAUUUUCCAAAUCCGCAAUUUCGUUCUCGAAGCACUCCUCUAAAUUGAACUCUUCCAGCAAAAUCAGCAUCCGAAAUUUCCAUGCAUGGAAAUUCUUUCCAUCAAACAAUGCCACACGGUGGCAAAUCUUCUUUUCAUCGCCCAUUUACAUGAUGCGUAAUUACGACCGAAUAACAUUCAAUCCGACCGAUACGUGACCAGGAACCGUUUCUGGGCCCAUAACCUAAUGGGCCGAUAGGUUCUUAGAAAGAAAUAACUCGAAAUAAAUAAUCGUUUAAAGUAACUUUAUUAUUGUCGCUGCAGCACUACUCUGCAAUUUGCUGGUGAGUCCAGCGACGCGAAGAUUUCUAGCGAUGUCAUAUUGUAUGAUCAUUUCUCGCUCAGGAGUACAGUACAACGCAGUUUUAAUGUUCUUUGAUUAAAUUGACAUAGUUUUGCGACAAGAAAACAAUCAAAACUAUUAGAAAAUAUUACAGUAGCAUAUUUCGGGACAUUUUCUGUUGAAUCAAAGACUACAUUAUAUUAAAAUACUACGAACUUCACUGGAAAAUCCUUGUCAGACGAGCGACUCGUCGCUUCCGAUUUUUCUCUGCAUGCACAACAAUGUGGUUAAUUUCUCUGACAUGGUUAUUUUUAGAAUGACAGUAUUCGAUGAGGAGCGCACAUCGUAUGUAGGGGAACUUACACGCUACCAAUGGUUUACUCAUUAAUUAAGGUAUAAAUUACUUCUCAAUAUUGAUCACUGGGUUUCUUAUUAUUCCAGUGUUUUCGGUACGUAGCUGUUUUUUCUAACAAUGUUGGGACCCACGAUGACUUUACUCUGGGAGUCCUGCGGUCUCUGGUGCAUAAAUCUGCAGGAAAUUUCAUAUUGGCCUUGAAAUACUUUGUUGUUCUUGAGCUGCCGGAUCGCAUCCUUAACUUCGCUUAUUGUUGGGGGUGGCACAUCUUCGUCGUUCGUUGCACCGACCACGUGUUCUCCGCUCCUGUUGUGGUCUCCUGCUUGAACGCCAUUCAGGUGUUCAUCGUAGUGCUGCUUCCACCUUUCGAUCACCACACAAUCAUCCGUCAAGAUGCCUCCUUUCUCAUCCCUACACAUUUCGGCUCGUGGGACAAAGCCUCUGCGGGAUCCGUUGAGUUUUUGGUGGAACUUUCGUGUUUCGUGUGUGCGGUGCAGCUGCUCGAGUUCUUCACAUUCCUCCUCUUCCUGGCGACGCUUUUUUUCCUUGAAGAGUUGGACUUGCUGCCUCCGUUUCAGUCUAUAUCGCUCCACAUUCUGACGGGUGGCUCUACGCAGCAUUGUUGCCCGCGCUGCGUUUUUCUCGUCCAAAAUCUGCCGACAUUCUUCGUCAAACCACUCGUUACGUCGAUUCGGUUGCACGUGUCUCAGGACUUCCUCCGCAGCACUGCUGAUGGCUGUUUUCACGGCAUUCCAGCGAUCCCCUAGAGGGGCUUCUUCAAGCUCUCCCUCUUCUGGCAGUGCAGCUUCGAGCGAUGACGCGUACUGUGUUGCGAUGUCGUGUUGCUUCAGUCGCGCGAGAUUAUACCGUGGCGGGCGACGGUACCGUAUGUUAUUAACAACGGAUAGUUUUUGGCGUACGUUAACCAUCACUAGGUAGUGAUCCGAAUCGAUGUUAGCGCCUCGAUGUGAUCUGACAUCGAUAAUGUCCGAGAAGUGCCGACCAUCUAUCAAAACGUGGUCGAUUUGUGUUUCUGUUCUAUUCGGUGAUCUCCAGGUGAGUCUAUGGUGGAGGCUAUGCUGAAAGAAGGUGCUACGUAUGGCCAUGUUCUGGGAGGUGGCGAAGUCGAUUAGUCUGAGGCCAUUUUCAUUCGUCAGCUGAUGUGCACUGAAUCGUCCAAUUACCGGUCUGUACUCCUCCUCCUGGCCAACCUGAGCGUUGUAAUUCCCGAUGAUGAUCUUGACAUCAUGUUUUGGGCAGCGGUCAUAUUCACUCUCCAACUGCGAGUAGAAUUCGUCCUUGUCGUCAUCGGUACUUCCGAGGUGUGGGCUAUGCACGUUGAUAAUACCACAGAUAACAGACAUCCAAGCUAGUUUCGCUUUAUGUGUAAAAAAAUUCAACGGUUUUUUAGCAUGUCGCAAUACGCAGUAUGGUGGCGCUAAGAACACUUAGUAGUCAACGAUUUAAUAAAAUCGAUAGUUUUACAGCUUUUAUCGAUAUUCUCGCAAUAAGAAGGGUUGCGGUUUUUAAUGUAGAAAUUUCGAGCAGUCGUAAUUUGUACACAAUCGACAAUUUUAUUCCUUCCCAGCUUAUAUUUACGAUAAAUAUGUUUGUUUUAAUGUUGAUUUGAAAAAAAAACACCAACCUUACAAAAUCAGUGUUAUAUCAUUGCAAAAACAGCGACUCUAUAACCUGUGAUAAUGUUCAUGCGUCUGGCAGCUUUGACUGUAAUCCAGCGCUGUCAUCACUAAACUGGUUAGAGUCGCAAGUUGCAGAAAGAUGUCGUUAGCAUUCCAAACGAGUAAAAGUUUGAAAUCUUACACACGAUUUCUGGAGUUUUUUGUUCUAGCUUGGAUGUCUGUUAUCUGUGAUAAUACUAAUGUUAAAGAAACGGCCUUUGAUCCUCAACCUGCACAUUCUAGGGCUGAUUGGCCACCACCCAAUCACCCGCUUCUGCAUCUCUCCCAUCACUAUAAUAGCUGUUUCCAGCUCAUGUGUGCUUCCACAACUCUGGUAGAUGGUGUGACCAUCUCUGUACGUACGCACCAUCGUCCCCUUCCAGCAUACCUCCUGCAGCGCUACGAUGUUGAACUUGCGAGUCUUCAAUUCCUCGGAAAGCACGCGGGUACUUCCUAGGAAGUUGAGAGAUCGGCAGUUCCAUGUUCCGUAUCCAUGUUCCAAUCGCAUAUCAGAAAUGCUUGCAAAAAUCUUGCGCCAGAAGAACGAAAGUUUGUUCACAAAGCGAAAAAAACGGAGAAAGUGAUCGUUUCUACGGAAGUUGUUCAAACAGCUCACGACUGUGCGUGCAAAGACCCGGUAUCUAAAAAUUUCAGCACGAUACCUAAAUGUAUAAACGUUACUUAUAGUCUUCACAUGAUGCUUUUGCAAGAGAAAAAAACUGUUAAAGAAAUUUUUGGUGUGUUCCUACAAUGGCGUUAUGAUCCAAAAGACAUACGAAAGGAUGAACCCUACACUUGAUAAAGAGUCUAAUCAGAAAAACGUCCUAGUAAGAGGACUUUUGAUUGAGAAUGAAACCUUCGCGACAGUUGGAGAUUAUUUGCGAGGAUGUAUGGGAAUUCUUGUGACUCUGGGCAAAAAAGGUGUCAAAAGCCCAGCCGGAGUUGAAUGUUUGUCGGCCGAGGAACAAAUUGCAGCGCUACUGGUUAGAUGGAUUUCGGAUUAAUCAACAUCCUUCCAGAACAAUUAGCCAAAUAAUCGCAUGGAAUUUGGAUUCGCCCGUAGAUCCACAUUUGAUAACUAAUGGUACAAACUUUUAUUUAUAUGUUGAAGGAGAAAUAGUGGAGUGCGGGACUUCAUCGCUGCAAGCUAUGGACAUCCUCUUAAGAUGUUUUUGCGUUUUUAAAUUGAAAGUUCCACCUUCUUUGAAAAAGAUUUUUGAGUUUUUUGAAAUUAUCACAUAUAAAAUUAAGUCAAAUAGCUCAACACAAAGUGUAAAUAGACUGGUGGCUAUGCUAAGUGAAUCAAGCUUUGCAGAGAAUUGCGAUUCUGACAAUUGAUGAUAGUAGUUAAA